rnacentral:rRNA from 1 species
AACGCGAAGAACCUUACCUACCCUUGACAUCCAGGGAAUCUGUGAGAGAUGGUUGUAGUGUCUUCGGGAACUCUGAGACAGGUGCGGCAUGGCUGUCUUCAGCUCGCGUGGUGAGAGGUUGGGUUAAGUCCCGCAACGAGCGCAACCCUUUUCCUUAUUUGCCACCGGGUGAUGGCGGGAACUCUAGGGAGACUGCCGGUGAUAAACCGGAGGAAGGUGGGGAGGACGUCAAGUCAUCAUGGCCCUUACGGGCGGGGCUACACACGUGCUACAAUGGCGGGUACAGAGGGUAGCGAACUCGCGAGAGGGAGCCAAUCCCACAAAGCCGGCCCCAGUCCGGAUUGGAGUCUGCAACUCGACUCCAUGAAGUCGGAAUCGCUAGUAAUCGCGAAUCACAAUGUCGCGGGAAAAAAUUUCCCGGGUCUUGUACACACCCG